CCCUGGUAAACCCACCUCAGUCGUAGCAAGAAUACACACCUAAGCCACACACUGUAAGCAAAAUUGUAAUUUAGAGAGAGAGGUAGAUUUGUACUGCCACAAUAUUAAGAUAAGAAGAAUUUACAGUGAGUAAAAACUUUCAGUUUUUUCUGACAUAUGGUGGCAGUACAUAUGGGAUAUUGCAAGAUUCCCAAUCGGGUGGGCCUUGUGCCUAAACAGCUUGAAGCACCC